AGUAGCGGACGGGUGAGUAACGCGUGGGUAACCUGCCUCAUACAGGGGGAUAACAGUUAGAAAUGACUGCUAGUACCGCAUAAGACCACAGCACCGCAUGGUGCAGGGGUAAAAACUCCGGUGGUAUGAGAUGGACCCGCGUCUGAUUAGGUAGUUGGUGGGGUAACGGCCUACCAAGCCGACGAUCAGUAGCCGACCUGAGAGGGUGACCGGCCACAUUGGGACUGAGACACGGCCCAA
rnacentral:rRNA from 1 species